AUUGAACGCUGGCGGCAGGCCUAACACAUGCAAGUCGAACGGUAACAGGAAGAAUCUUGCUUCUUUGCUGACGAGUGGCGGACGGGUGAGUAAUGUCUGGGAAACUGCCUGAUGGAGGGGGAUAACUACUGGAAACGGUAGCUACUACCGCAUAACGUCGCAAGAUCAAAGAGGGGGACCUUCGGGCCUCUUGCCAUCGGAUGUGCCCAGAUGGGAUUAGCUAGUAGGUGGGGUAACGGCUCACCUAGGCGACGAUCCCUAGCUGGUCUGAGAGGAUGACCAGCCACACUGGAACUGAGACACGGUCCAGGCUCCUACGGGAGGCAGCAGUGGGGAAUAUUGGACAAUGGGCGCAAGCCUGAUGCAGCCAUGCCGCGUGUAUGAAGAAGGCCUUCGGGUUGUAAAGUACUUUCAGCGGGGAGGAAGGGAGUAAAGUUAAUACCUUUACUCAUUGACGUUACCCGCAGAAGAAGCACCGGCUAACUCCGUG
rnacentral:rRNA from 1 species